AUGGAAGCUGGACCACAAGCACGGCCAAGGUCUUCAUACCUACGCAACCGGGACACCUUCAAGGGCUCCUUGGUGCAGCGCCAUGUGGAAGACCACGGCAGGUUCACGUGGGCAAAUGGGAACACCUAUGUCAAUGCCAUGCGGAACGACACCAUGUCCAACAAAGGGGUGCUGGAAUGGAGCAUCGGGGACCUGUUUCAAGGGAACUGGCGCGACGACACGAUGUACGGGUAUGAGUUGUACACGUGGGAGAAUAGUGGGUGCUACCUUGGGACAUUGACCAGGGGGUUCAAGGUUGGGAAGGGCACGUUCUACCCUAAACGCUGCAGGCUUCAAAUCCAGCUAGGGCUGAACAUGCUGAUGAGAGCAAAGAAAGAAGAAAAACAAGAUGGCGGCAAAUCAUUCCGUCAGGUGUAUGAUGUGGUGCCAUGCACCGAUCUAUCAUAUCAAUCGUGUCAAAUGCAAGUGCAACCGGCAUUGGCGCUUGAGGAGGCGGCUACAGUGGUGGUGGUGGUGGUGGAGGAGGAGGUAGAGAAGACAGUGGAAGCGCCGGUUACAGUUAUGACUAUGGCUCGGGCUAUGGUGUCGGUUAUGGCUCUGGCGGCGGCAUUGGUGGUGGAUCCGGUGGUGGACAUGGGGUUGGUGGUGGAGGUAGUGGCAUAUAGGCUCAGGGUAAGGCUCCGAUUACAGCAGACGGCAGUGGUUAUGGCUCCGGUUAUGAUUCUGGUGGUCAAGGUGGUGGAGGAAGUAGUGGAGGUAGCGGUGGAUUCGGCUAUGGUUGUGGUGGUGACUAUGGAUCUGGGUGUGGAGAAGGCUAUGGGUUAUGUGGUGGCAAGAAAGAUGGCGGUGUAG
rnacentral:rRNA from 1 species